rnacentral:piRNA from 1 species
CCUGAUAAUGCAUCAGUUGGGCGUUGUAUA